UACGUAGGGUGCAGGCGUUAAUCGGAAUUACUGGGCGUAAAGCGUGCGCAGGCGGUUUGCUAAGAGAGAUGUGAAAGCCCCGGGCUUAACCUGGGAACUGCGUUUCUAACUGGCAAGCUUGAGCGUGGCAGAGGGGGGUGGAAUUCCACGUGUAGCAGUGAAAUGCGUAGAGAUGUGGAGGAACACCGAUGGCGAAGGCAGCCCCCUGGGCUAACACUGACGCUCAUGCACGAAAGCGUGGGGAGCAAACAGG
rnacentral:rRNA from 1 species